rnacentral:tRNA from 1 species
AAGAUAUUAGUAAAAUCAUUACAUAACUUUGUCGAAGUUAAUUUAUAGGUUAAACCCCUUUAUAUCUUU